rnacentral:rRNA from 1 species
GACGAACGCUGGCGGCGUGCUUAACACAUGCAAGUCGAACGGAAAGGCCCUGCUUUUGUGGGGUGCUCGAGUGGCGAACGGGUGAGUAACACGUGAGUAACCUGCCCUUGACUUUGGGAUAACUUCAGGAAACUGGGGCUAAUACCGGAUAGGAGCUCCUGCUGCAUGGUGGGGGUUGGAAAGUUUCGGCGGUUGGGGAUGGACUCGCGGCUUAUCAGCUUGUUGGUGGGGUAGUGGCUUACCAAGGCUUUGACGGGUAGCCGGCCUGAGAGGGUGACCGGCCACAUUGGGACUGAGAGACGGCCCAGAGGCCUACGGGAGGCAGCAGUGGGGAAUAUUGCACAAUGGGCGGAAGCCUGAUGAAGCAACGCCGCGUGCGGGAUGACGGCCUUCGGGUUGUAAACCGCUUUCGCCUGUGACGAAGCGUGAGUGACGGUAAUGGGUAAAGAAGCACCGGCUAACUACGUG